UGGGGAAUAUUGGGCAAUGGGCGAAAGCCUUACCCAGCAACGCCGCGUGAAGGAAGAAGGUUUUCGGAUUGUAAACUUCAGCAAGCAGGGAAGAAAGAAAUGACGGUACCUGAACAAAAGCCACGGCUAACUACGUGCCAGCAGCCGCGGUAAUACGUAGGUGGCAAGCGUUGUCCGGAUUUACUGGGUGUAAAGGGCGCGUAGGCGGGCUCGUAAGUCAGACGUGAAAUACCGGGGCUCAACCCCGGGGCUGCGUUUGAAACUGCAAGUCUUGAGUGCCGGAGAGGAAAGCGGAAUUCCUAGUGUAGCGGUGAAAUGCGUAGAUAUUAGGAGGAACACCAGUGGCGAAGGCGACUUUCUGGACGGUAACUGACGCUGAGGCGCGAAAGCGUGGGGAGCAAACAGGAUUAGAUACC
rnacentral:rRNA from 1 species